AUAAAUCGGUACAACUGGUACAAAUAGUUAUGGACAACUGGUACAAAUGGUUCUACUGAAACAAAGCAAUUUGUAAUUCUAAACCCUAAUUCUAAACUCUAGCGUCGUCACACUCAAUAAUUUGUCUCUUCUUGCUUUGUUCACUAUCGUUGUCGCCGAUUAUCACCAUCACCCUUCCUCGUCGAAGUUUGUGGACCGUCUUCUCUCACCAAACGAUUGUGCACUACAAAUGACGAAAGCACGAAGAGAAAUCCAUGGAGAAGAAGCUUGAAGAGAGAUCCAUGAUUUUUAAAUCUCAGAAAUCCAUGGAGAAGAAGCAUGAAGAGAGAUCCGAUCUAUAAAGAAGUGCGAAGAGAGAUCCAAGAAGAAGAAAAGAUCUAGAGUUUUAUUGAUGAUGAUGAUGGAGAAAAAGAGAAUGAAAGAUCUAAAAAACCCAGAAAAAGUAAAGAAGAAGGAGA
rnacentral:lncRNA from 1 species